AGUCACCAUAAGUGGACAAGGAAGGAGCUUCUAACAGUUUUGGAGUCCAGAACAUGUAAAGUUUUUUCACCCAUUAUAAACAAUUUGGACAAAAUACUGCAUGUUCUACUUAAAAUUGGGAGCUAAGCAGUGGUGAUAUCAGUAUCAAGAUAAAAGUUUGGAAUGGGAGAAAAAUUCUCAAAGCCUGAAAGAAAAUCUGAGAUGCUUGGAGUGUAAAGAUCCCAUGGUCACAUAAAUCCGGAAAGCACUGAAUACUUUGUUUCCCAUAAGAGAAUCCCAUUAUAUGUUGAUGUAUUAAAAGACCUGAGAACCUGGUAAAUCUUCUAUGAUAUUGUCUCAGGGACCACCUGCAGCAGGAGCCCACAAAUUGAAUAAAUGCAACAUAAGGAGAGGAUUUUUUUUUUCUGUUGUUGCUUGUUUCAAAAAUGCUACUAUCCAGAUUCUCUAUUAAGGCAAUAUUCACUCUGUCGCCAAGACUGGAGUGCAUGGUGUGAUUAAGGCUCACUGCAGCAUCAACCUCCAGGUCUCAAACCAUCCUCCCACCUCAGCCCCCACUACAG
rnacentral:lncRNA from 10 species